rnacentral:misc_RNA from 1 species
GAUGAAGAACGCAGCGAAAUGCGAUAAGUAGUGUGAAUUGCAGAAUUCAGUGAAUCAUCGAAUCUUUGAACGCACAUUGCGCCCUUUGGUAUUCCUUAGGGCAUGCCUGUUCGAGCGUCAUUUAAACCUUCAAGCUAAGCUUGGUGUUGGGUGACUGUCCGCUUCACGGCGGACUCGCCUCAAAAUUAUUGGCGGCCGGUACAUUGGCUUCGAGCGCAGCAGAAACGCGAACUCGGGCCCGUCGUAUUGGCUCCCAGAAGCUAUCUUCACAAUUUUGACCUCGGAUCAGGUAGGGAUACCCGCUGAACUUAAGCAUAUCAAUAGCGGAGGA